rnacentral:misc_RNA from 1 species
AAUAGAGAAACGUGUUUCUCUACGUGUAAUCGUCAUUUCCGGUAGCGUAAAUGGCCGCUUCCUACUAUCGAAAAACUGUGAACUUGCUACAAACUCUCGGAAAGACAUGAACGUGUGCAUUAGUUUUUCAUUUUUUGUCAUGGAAUUUUGAAGACACAUCAUUUGGAAUAGAGAGGGUGCUGGAAGAUCUUUGAUAAUGGCUGAGGCAAAACAAGGAACGGAAAAGAAGAUAGUAAAGAAGACACCUCAUGAUUUUAUCUUUGGAAAAUUCCUUGGAGAAGGCUCAUUUUCAACAGUUACAUUGGCUAAAGAAGUGAGCACAGGCAAAGAAUUUGCAAUAAAAGUCUGUAACAAGCAGCACCUCAUCAGGGAAAGGAAGAGUGAAUAUGCCAUGCGAGAGAAAGCUGUCCUUACCAUGGUUAAUCAUCCAUUCAUCAUAAAGCUCUUCUACACAUUCCAGGAUGUUGAACGUUUAUAUUUUGUUUUAGAGUAUACCAGCAAAAAAGACUUGUCUCAUUAUUUAAAGAAACUGUCAUCCUUUGAUCUUCCUUGUUCCCGUUUCUACGCAGCAGAAAUAGUAGAGGCAUUGGAUUACUUACAAAAUGUUGGCAUUAUCCACAGGGAUCUGAAACCUGAAAACAUUCUUUUGAGAGAAAGUAUGCACAUCAUGAUAACUGAUUUUGGGUCUGCCAAAAUCCUCAAGAAUGAUGUUGUUGAUGGAGAAGGCGGAGAAAAUCCCAAGGGGAAUGGAGAUGGUGGAAGACGAAAAUCAUUUGUUGGAACAGCACAGUAUGUAACACCUGAAGUCCUUGCGAGCAAUAAAGUCUAUUUUAGCUCUGAUCUUUGGGCCUUAGGAUGCAUCAUUUAUGAGUUCUUGGCAGGAAAACCACCCUUUUAUGAAAAAAGCGAAUACAAGACAUUUAAAAGAAUCUGCAGCCUUCAGUAUGAUAUACCAGCUUGUCUCAACACAACAGCACAAGAUCUUGUCUCAAAACUAUUGGUUCUGGAGCCUGAGGAACGUUUAGGCUCUAAAGACAUGGGAGAAUUACGGGCUCAUCCAUUUUUUGAGGGCAUUGUGUGGGAGGGUCUUCCUGAGCAGCAAGCACCCCAGUUGCUGCCUUAUCUUCCAGCCACUGAAACGAACCCAGAGAUGUGGAGCAGUCAAUCCAGAACAGGCCUUGAUGAUCAGCGUUUGGCAGAGAUAAUUAUUGGCAAUGAUAACAUACAUGAAAAAGUAAUCCCACAAGAACAAAAUGAUGAGGUGAAUAAUGAAGAUCAUCAAAGGCGGUUGCAAGAGCAGGCAGUCAACAAUGAGUUCCAUGAAUUUGUGCAGGGCAACCUCAUUAUCAAGCAAGGCAAAGUGUUGAAGAGAAGAGGUUUGUUUGCUCGAAAAAGAAUGCUGUUGCUGACAGAGGGGCCACACCUGUAUUAUGUGGACUACGCCAAUAAAGUGCUUAAAGGAGAAAUUCCUUGGGUUUCAGGGAGUUAAAAUGGUGGUAGUUACACUUUCUUCAGCUGUGGCUCAUAUUUGGUUAUACCUGCCAUCUUGCUUCCAGUUUACUUUGCCUAAUGGAACCUAGAAGGACAUGUGAAGUUGUCUUUGGAUAACAGUAAUGGCGGAGUGCAUGACAUGAUCACCAUAAAUGCGAACCUUCUUAUAAGAGGGCCAUGACCAGGAAAGGCAAGGUCAAGUGAUCUUCGACCAGAGGCACAGAACUUCAGAAUUUUCUUUGUACACACACCCAACAGAACAUACUACUUGGAGAGUCGCGAGUCUGAUGCACAUGACUGGGUUAAAAAAAUAAAUGAGGUGUGGCAACAUU